rnacentral:misc_RNA from 1 species
GUCAGGUUUGAGACGACUCUGUUUAUUGCUAAUUUUUUUCUUGAUUCUGGAAACUGCGUAACCGAACUAGCCAAUACAGUUGGUAAAGAGUCUCAAUAUCAGAAAUUAUUGAAGUAACACACUUUUGCCAGGUUAGAUAGAACAUGUCUUUUAUGUUUCAAAAGUGGCUCGCAUAUCUUUAUUGUUAUACAAGUGACCCAAAUGUACCCAUCCAAUAUGAAAAUAAAAUGGUGAAUGAUUUCAUUCCAAUUAUCUGGUGAAAUCAGAAAUUUUACUUGUUUAUUCUCUUUUG